rnacentral:rRNA from 1 species
AACGUAGGAGACAAACGUUAUCCGGAGUUACUGGGCGUAAAGGGCGUGUAGGCGGUUGGUUAAGUCUGGCGUGAAAGCUCUCGGCUAAACCGGGAGAGGUCGUUGGAUACUGGCCAACUAGAGGACGGUAGAGGCGUGUGGAAUUCCGGGUGUAGUGGUGAAAUGCGUAGAGAUCCGGAGGAACACCAGUGGCGAAGGCGACACGCUGGGCCGUACCUGACGCUAAAGCGCGACAGCAUGGGGAGCAAACGGG